AGCAGCGUACCGGAGAGGAUGUGGCCUACAUGGGCAUUGCGUGGGCAGUGACUUGAUUGUAUUGCUCAGGUGGUGUCUCUGUUACUUUGAGGAAAUUAGAGUGUUUCAAGCAAUCUUCUGUUUUGUAUAUAAUAGCAUGGAAUAACAGUAGACAGCUUCUAUGUUGUUUGUUGGUUUAAAAUGUGGAAGUGAUGAUGGAUAGAAAUAGUUGGGGGCACUCGUACUUGACAGUCAGAGGUGGAAUUCUUGGAUUUGUCAAAGACGCACUACUGCGAAAGCAUUUGCCACGGAUGUUUUCAUUGAUCAAGAACGAAAGCUAGGGGUUCGAAGACGAUUAGAUACCGUCGUAGUCUUAGCCAUAAACUAUGCCGACUAAAUCGUGGGAAAUCUCGUGUAACCGAAUUUUCCACGAUUUCGGGAGAAAUCAAAGUUUGUGGGUUCCGGGGGGAGUAUGGUCGCAAGUCUGAAACUUAAAGGAAUUGACGGAAGGGCACCACCAGGAGUGGAGCCUGCGGCUUAAUUUGACUCAACACGGGAAAACUCACCAGGUCCAGACAUAUGUAGGAUUGACAGAUUAAAGAUAUUUCUUGAUUAUAUGGGUGGUGGUGCAUGGCCGUUCUUAGUUGGUGGAGUGAUUUGUCUGGUUAAUUCCGAUAACGAACGAGACCUUAACCUACUAUUUAGCUAUGUCGGCAGGCGCUUCCUGCCGCAUCGACUUCUUAGGGGGACAUUGCGCGCUAUAGCGCGAGGAAGUAUUAGGCAAUAACAG
rnacentral:rRNA from 2 species